AAUAGAUACCCGGGUAGUCCACGCCGUAAACGAUGAGUGCUAAGUGUUAGGGGGUUUCCGCCCCUUAGUGCUGCAGCUAACGCAUUAAGCACUCCGCCUGGGGAGUACGGUCGCAAGACUGAAACUCAAAGGAAUUGACGGGGGCCCGCACAAGCGGUGGAGCAUGUGGUUUAAUUCGAAGCAACGCGAAGAACCUUACCAGGUCUUGACAUCCCGCUGACCGCUAUGGAGACAUAGCCUUCCCUUCGGGGACAGCGGUGACAGGUGGUGCAUGGUUGUCGUCAGCUCGUGUCGUGAGAUGUUGGGUUAAGUCCCGCAACGAGCGCAACCCUUGAUCUUAGUUGCCAUCAUUCAAUUGGGCACUCUAAGGUGACUGCCGGUGAUAAACCGGAGGAAGGUGGGGAUGACGUCAAAUCAUCAUGCCCCUUAUGACCUGGGCUACACACGUGCUACAAUGGACGGUACAAACGGUUGCCAACCCGCGAGGGGGAGCUAAUCUGAUAAAACCGUUCUCAGUUCGGAUUGCAGGCUGCAACUCG
rnacentral:rRNA from 1 species